rnacentral:lncRNA from 1 species
CUCAGCCUCCCGAGUAGCUGGGAUUACAGAGGUGAGGGUCUCACUACAUUGUCCAGCCUAGUCUUGAACUCCUGGCCUCAAGAACCGUCUCACCUUGGACUCCUAAAACUGCUGGGAUUACAGAUGAAGAGGCUCUCCAUUCCACAUUCCCCACUGAUUUGAAGAGAUUCUCCAUGUUGGUCAGGCUGGUCUCGAACUCCUGACCUCAGGUGAUCCACCUGCCUCGGCCUCCCAAAGUGCUGGGAUUACAGACGUGAGCCACCGUGCCAGGCCCAUAUCCCCCUCCUGAUAAGACCCUCAGCUGCCAAUUUCUUGGAUUCUGUCUUU